GAUGAACGCUGGCGGCGUGCCUAAUACAUGCAAGUCGAGCGAACAGACGAGGAGCUUGCUCCUCUGACGUUAGCGGCGGACGGGUGAGUAACACGUGGAUAACCUCCCUAUAAGACUGGGAUAACUUCGGGAAACCGGAGCUAAUACCGGAUAAUAUAUUGAACCGCAUGGUUCAAUAGUGAAAGACGGUUUUGCUGGCAGGUAUAGAUGGAUCCGCGCCUGAUUAGCUAGUUGGUAGGGUAGCGGCUUACCAAGGCAACGAUGGGUAGCCGACAUGGGAGGGUGACCGGCGACCAUGGGACUGAGAUACGGCGCAGAAUGCUACGGGAGGCAGUAGUGGGGAAUAUUGCACAACGGGGGGAAGCGUGAUGCAGCAAUCCUGCGUGCGGGAUGACGUCCUUCGGGUUGUAAACCGCUUUCGACUGUGACGAAGCGUGAGUGACGGUAACGGGUAAAGAAGCACCGGCUAACUACGUG
rnacentral:rRNA from 1 species